AGAGUUUGAUCCUGGCUCAGGAUGAACGCUGGCGGCGUGCCUAAUACAUGCAAGUCGAGCGAACGGACGAGAAGCUUGCUUCUCUGAUGUUAGCGGCGGACGGGUGAGUAACACGUGGAUAACCUACCUAUAAGACUGGGAUAACUUCGGGAAACCGGAGCUAAUACCGGAUAAUAUUUUGAACCGCAUGGUUCAAAAGUGAAAGACGGUCUUGCUGUCACUUAUAGAUGGAUCCGCGCUGCAUUAGCUAGUUGGUAAGGUAACGGCUUACCAAGGCAACGAUGCAUAGCCGACCUGAGAGGGUGAUCGGCCACACUGGAACUGAGACACGGUCCAGACUCCUACGGGAGGCAGCAGUAGGGAAUCUUCCGCAAUGGGCGAAAGCCUGACGGAGCAACGCCGCGUGAGUGAUGAAGGUCUUCGGAUCGUAAAACUCUGUUAUUAGGGAAGAACAUAUGUGUAAGUAACUGUGCACAUCUUGACGGUACCUAAUCAGAAAGCCACGGCUAACUACGUGCCAGCAGCCGCGGUAAUACGUAGGUGGCAAGCGUUAUCCGGAAUUAUUGGGCGUAAAGCGCGCGUAGGCGGUUUUUUAAGUCUGAUGUGAAAGCCCACGGCUCAACCGUGGAGGGUCAUUGGAAACUGGAAAACUUGAGUGCAGAAGAGGAAAGUGGAAUUCCAUGUGUAGCGGUGAAAUGCGCAGAGAUAUGGAGGAACACCAGUGGCGAAGGCGACUUUCUGGUCUGUAACUGACGCUGAUGUGCGAAAGCGUGGGGAUCAAACAGGAUUAGAUACCCUGGUAGUCCACGCCGUAAACGAUGAGUGCUAAGUGUUAGGGGGUUUCCGCCCCUUAGUGCUGCAGCUAACGCAUUAAGCACUCCGCCUGGGGAGUACGACCGCAAGGUUGAAACUCAAAGGAAUUGACGGGGACCCGCACAAGCGGUGGAGCAUGUGGUUUAAUUCGAAGCAACGCGAAGAACCUUACCAAAUCUUGACAUCCUUUGACAACUCUAGAGAUAGAGCCUUCCCCUUCGGGGGACAAAGUGACAGGUGGUGCAUGGUUGUCGUCAGCUCGUGUCGUGAGAUGUUGGGUUAAGUCCCGCAACGAGCGCAACCCUUAAGCUUAGUUGCCAUCAUUAAGUUGGGCACUCUAAGUUGACUGCCGGUGACAAACCGGAGGAAGGUUGGGAUGACGUCAAAUCAUCAUGCCCCUUAUGAUUUGGGCUACACACGUGCUACAAUGGACAAUACAAAGGGCAGCGAAACCGCGAGGUCAAGCAAAUCCCAUAAAGUUGUUCUCAGUUCGGAUUGUAGUCUGCAACUCGACUACAUGAAGCUGGAAUCGCUAGUAAUCGUAGAUCAGCAUGCUACGGUGAAUACGUUCCCGGGUCUUGUACACACCGCCCGUCACACCACGAGAGUUUGUAACACCCGAAGCCGGUGGAGUAACCUUUUAGGAGCUAGCCGUCGAAGGUGGGACAAAUGAUUGGGGUGAAGUCGUAACAAGGUAGCCGUAUCGGAAGGUGCGGCUGGAUCACCU
rnacentral:rRNA from 1 species